rnacentral:lncRNA from 1 species
AAAUGGAAGAAAAACCGCAAAAUGAUUUUUUCCCGAACGGAAGAAGAUCAGGGGCCCUUUGGGCCAAGCCAGGUGGGCUCGAGGGAGCCCACAAGCCCCCACUCCGCCACCAGGGGGGAGGCGGCGGUGGGCAGGCUUGUGGCCUCCCUGGCCGCCCCCUGACCUAGAUCUUUGGCCUAUAAAUUCCCAAAUAUUCCGCAAAAAAUCAGGGGAGCCUCGAAAA